GACGAACGCUGGCGGCGUGCUUAACACAUGCAAGUCGAACGGUGAACCAGAGCUUGCUCUGGGGAUCAGUGGCGAACGGGUGAGUAACACGUGGGCAACCUGCCCAGACUCUGGGAUAACCUCGGGAAACCGAUGCUAAUACCGGAUACGACCACUUCGGACAUCCGACGGUGGUGGAAAGUUUUCGGUCUGGGAUGGGCCGCGGCCUAUCAGCUAGUUGGUGGGGUAAUGGCCUACCAAGGCGACGACGGGUAGCCGGCCUGAGAGGGCGACCGGCCACACUGGAACUGAGACACGGUCCAGACUCCUACGGGAGGCAGCAGUGGGGAAUAUUGCACAAUGGGCGAAAGCCUGAUGCAGCGACGCCGCGUGAGGGACGACGGCCUU
rnacentral:rRNA from 1 species